AUGACGUAUGACGGUCCCUCC
rnacentral:miRNA from 1 species